GAACCAGUACCGUGAGGGAAAGGUGAAAAGCACCCCGGAAGGGGAGUGAAAUAGAACCUGAAACCGUGUGCUUACAAGUAGUCAGAGCCCGUUAAUGGGUGAUGGCGUGCCUUUUGUAGAAUGAACCGGCGAGUUACGAUUUGAUGCAAGGUUAAGCAGUAAAUGUGGAGCCGUAGCGAAAGCGAGUCUGAAUAGGGCGUUUAGUAUUUGGUCGUAGACCCGAAACCAGGUGAUCUACCCUUGGUCAGGUUGAAGUUCAGGUAACACUGAAUGGAGGACCGAACCGACUUACGUUGAAAAGUGAGCGGAUGAACUGAGGGUAGCGGAGAAAUUCCAAUCGAACCUGGAGAUAGCUGGUUCUCUCCGAAAUAGCUUUAGGGCUAGCCUCAAGUGAUGAUUAUUGGAGGUAGAGCACUGUUUGGACGAGGGGCCCCUCUCGGGUUACCGAAUUCAGACAAACUCCGAAUGCCAAUUAAUUUAACUUGGGAGUCAGAACAUGGGUGAUAAGGUCCGUGUUCGAAAGGGAAACAGCCCAGACCACCAGCUAAGGUCCCAAAAUAUAUGUUAAGUGGAAAAGGAUGUGGCGUUGCCCAGACAACUAGGAUGUUGGCUUAGAAGCAGCCAUCAUUUAAAGAGUGCGUAAUAGCUCACUAGUCGAGUGACACUGCGCCGAAAAUGUACCGGGGCUAAACAUAUUACCGAAGCUGUGGAUUGUCCUUUGGACAAUGGUAGGAGAGCGUUCUAAGGGCGUUGAAGCAUGAUCGUAAGGACAUGUGGAGCGCUUAGAAGUGAGAAUGCCGGUGUGAGUAGCGAAAGACGGGUGAGAAUCCCGUCCACCGAUUGACUAAGGUUUCCAGAGGAAGGCUCGUCCGCUCUGGGUUAGUCGGGUCCUAAGCUGAGGCCGACAGGCGUAGGCGAUGGAUAACAGGUUGAUAUUCCUGUACCACCUAUAAUCGUUUUAAUCGAUGGGGGGACGCAGUAGGAUAGGCGAAGCGUGCGAUUGGAUUGCACGUCUAAGCAGUAAGGCUGAGUAUUAGGCAAAUCCGGUACUCAUUAAGGCUGAGCUGUGAUGGGGAGAAGACAUUGUGUCUUCGAGUCGUUGAUUUCACACUGCCGAGAAAAGCCUCUAGAUAGAAAAUAGGUGCCCGUACCGCAAACCGACACAGGUAGUCAAGAUGAGAAUUCUAAGGUGAGCGAGCGAACUCUCGUUAAGGAACUCGGCAAAAUGACCCCGUAACUUCGGGAGAAGGGGUGCUCUUUAGGGUUAACGCCCAGAAGAGCCGCAGUGAAUAGGCCCAAGCGACUGUUUAUCAAAAACACAGGUCUCUGCUAAACCGUAAGGUGAUGUAUAGGGGCUGACGCCUGCCCGGUGCUGGAAGGUUAAGAGGAGUGGUUAGCUUCUGCGAAGCUACGAAUCGAAGCCCCAGUAAACGGCGGCCGUAACUAUAACGGUCCUAAGGUAGCGAAAUUCCUUGUCGGGUAAGUUCCGACCCGCACGAAAGGCGUAACGAUUUGGGCACUGUCUCAACGAGAGACUCGGUGAAAUCAUAGUACCUGUGAAGAUGCAGGUUACCCGCGACAGGACGGAAAGACCCCGUGGAGCUUUACUGUAGCCUGAUAUUGAAAUUCGGCACAGCUUGUACAGGAUAGGUAGGAGCCUUUGAAACGUGAGCGCUAGCUUACGUGGAGGCGCUGGUGGGAUACUACCCUAGCUGUGUUGGCUUUCUAACCCGCACCACUUAUCGUGGUGGGAGACAGUGUCAGGCGGGCAGUUUGACUGGGGCGGUCGCCUCCUAAAAGGUAACGGAGGCGCUCAAAGGUUCCCUCAGAAUGGUUGGAAAUCAUUCAUAGAGUGUAAAGGCAUAAGGGAGCUUGACUGCGAGACCUACAAGUCGAGCAGGGUCGAAAGACGGACUUAGUGAUCCGGUGGUUCCGCAUGGAAGGGCCAUCGCUCAACGGAUAAAAGCUACCCCGGGGAUAACAGGCUUAUCUCCCCCAAGAGUUCACAUCGACGGGGAGGUUUGGCACCUCGAUGUCGGCUCAUCGCAUCCUGGGGCUGUAGUCGGUCCCAAGGGUUGGGCUGUUCGCCCAUUAAAGCGGUACGCGAGCUGGGUUCAGAACGUCGUGAGACAGUUCGGUCCCUAUCCGUCGUGGGCGUAGGAAAUUUGAGAGGAGCUGUCCUUAGUACGAGAGGACCGGGAUGGACAUACCUCUGGUGUACCAGUUGUCGUGCCAACGGCAUAGCUGGGUAGCUAUGUGUGGACGGGAUAAGUGCUGAAAGCAUCUAAGCAUGAAGCCCCCCUCAAGAUGAGAUUUCCCAACUUCGGUUAUAAGAUCCCUCAAAGAUGAUGAGGUUAAUAGGUUCGAGGUGGAAGCAUGGUGACAUGUGGAGCUGACGAAUACUAAUCGAUCGAAGACUUAAUCAA
rnacentral:rRNA from 2 species